CAAUACUUGUCGGAGUGCCAAAGGCUGAGAUCGCGUAAGCGGGAUCCGUAAAACCUGAUCAGAUUAAUAUCUGCGUAGGAAACAAGAGAGAGUAAUUU
rfam:Colwellia sp. MT41, complete genome.